rnacentral:rRNA from 1 species
GACGAACGCUGGCGGCGUGCUUAACACAUGCAAGUCGAACGGAAAGGCCCUGCUUGUGUGGGGUGCUCGAGUGGCGAACGGGUGAGUAACACGUGAGUAACCUGCCCUUUACUUUGGGAUAACUUCAGGAAACUGGGGCUAAUACCUGCUAGGAGCUCCUGCUGCUUGGUGGGGGUUGGAAAGUUUCGGCGGUUGGGGAUGGACUCGCGGCUUAUCAGCUUGUUGGUGGGGUAGUGGCUUACCAAGGCUUUGACGGGUAGCCGGCCUGAGAGGGUGACCGGCCACAUUGGGACUGAGAUACGGCCCAGACUCCUACGGGAGGCAGCAGUGGGGAAUAUUGCACAAUGGGCGGAAGCCUGAUGCAGCAACGCCGCGUGCGGGAUGACGGCCUUCGGGUUGUAAACCGCUUUCGCCUGUGACGAAGCGUGAGUGACGGUAAUGGGUAAAGAAGCACCGGCUAACUACGUG